rnacentral:rRNA from 1 species
CAACAGCUGGAAACGGCUGCUAAUACCGCAUAAGCGCACGGUAUCGCAUGAUACAGUGUGAAAAACUCCGGUGGUACAGGAUGGGCCCGCGUUGGAUUAGGUAGUUGGUGGGGUAACGGCCUACCAAGCCGACGAUCCAUAGCCGACCUGAGAGGGUGACCGGCCACAUUGGGACUGAGACACGGCCCAAACUCCUACGGGAGGCAGCAGUGGGGAAUAUUGCACAAUGGGGGAAACCCUGAUGCAGCGACGCCGCGUGAGCGAAGAAGUAUUUCGGUAUGUAAAGCUCUAUCAGCAGGGAAGAAAAUGACGGUACCUGACUAAGAAGCCCCGGCUAACUACGUGCCAGCAGCCGCGGUAAUACGUAGGGGGCAAGCGUUAUCCGGAUUUACUGGGUGUAAAGGGAGCGUAGACGGCAAGGCAAGUCUGAUGUGAAAGGCUGGGGCUCAACCCCGGGACUGCAUUGGAAACUGUCCUGCUGGAGUGCCGGAGAGGUAAGCGGAAUUCCUAGUGUAGCGGUGAAAUGCGUAGAUAUUAGGAGGAACACCAGUGGCGAAGGCGGCUUACUGGACGGUAACUGACGUUGAGGCUCGAAAGCGUGGGGAGCAAACAGGAUUAGAUACCCUGGUAGUCCACGCGGU